UACGGAGGGUGCGAGCGUUGUCCGGAAUCAUUGGGCGUAAAGGGCGCGUAGGUGGCCCCUCAAGCGUGCGGUGAAAGUCAGGGGCUCAACCCCUGAUCGGCCGUGCGAACUGGGGAGCUUGAGCACUGUAGAGGCAGGCGGAAUUCCGGGUGUAGCGGUGGAAUGCGUAGAUAUCGGGGAGGAACACCUGUGGCGAAAGCGGCUCACUGGACCACAACUGACGCUGAGGCGCGAAAGCUAGGGGAGCAAACAGG
rnacentral:rRNA from 1 species